UCUACCUGCACGCUUGUUUGUGGCACAGACACAGAGGAGGCUCGACACCACUCUACUUCGACGGGACUGAACAGAACAGAUUGGAAAUCUGAGAAAAUAUCGGCAUCAUGUCAAAAGAUGUUGACAGAAAGCAGGUGUUUCAAACCACCAGGGUGCGGACUUCACUGAAGAAUGAUAUCAGUUGGAUCCAGAAAUCAAAUCAGGAAAAUAAAGAAGAAGACAAAGCAAG